UACGUAGGGUGCGAGCGUUGUCCGGAAUUAUUGGGCGUAAAGAGCUUGUAGGUGGUUUGUCGCGUCUGCUGUGAAAACUCGAGGCUCAACCUCGAGACGCCGAUGGAAACCAUCUGACUAGAGUCCGGAAGAGGAGAGUGGAAUUCCUGGUGUAGCGGUGAAAUGCGCAGAUAUCAGGAAGAACACCCGUGGCUAAGGCGGCUCUCUAGUACGGUACUGACGCUGAGACGCGAAAGCGUGGGGAGCGAACAGG
rnacentral:rRNA from 1 species